CAGCCGCCGCGGUAAAACGGAGGGAGCUAGCGUUGUUCCGAAUUACUGGGCGUAAAGCGCGCGUAGGCGGUUAUUUAAGUCAGGGGUGAAAGCCCGGUGCUCAACACCGGAACAGCCCUUGAGACUGGAUAACUUGAAUCCAGGAGAGGUGAGUGGAAUUCCGAGUGUAGAGGUGAAAUUCGUAGAUAUUCGGAAGAACACCAGUGGCGAAGGCGGCUCACUGGACUGGUAUUGACGCUGAGGUGCGAAAGCGUGGGGAGCAAACAGGAUUAGAUACCCCCGUAGUCCCUGUCUCUUAUAC
rnacentral:rRNA from 1 species